AGGUUUCUUAAAGACCAAAGAACAGCCUUAUCUGACACAAAGUAGAGGUCGCAUCACGACAGGCAGAGUAUAUAACCUGAGUGUGGCGGCCGUGUGCUUCAUCAGUACCGCUCUUCUCCCACGUUCUCCAGAGCAAGACACCUACUGCAGAUCCCCGACACCAUGAAGACUGUAGCCAUUCUGGUUCUUCUUGCACUCUUCGCUUACUCCCAAGGGUCUCCCUGCUCUCAGGGUGCCACCGAGUGCCAGCAUGCUGCCGAGACAGCUACAUCUGAAGGCAGGACGUUCUGUUGUCACGCUGCCAACGCCAGAAUCACCCUGACUAACAUCAACGGCGAGGUGACGUGCACGUGCUCACAAGUCUAGAUGGCAAGCGCCUCACAAAACAUUAAUAAUCUGUUCAGUCUUAUUGACGAUUAAAGCGCUAAGUGCGACUUACUUCACAA